CUGGCGGCGAGUGGCGAACGGGUGAGUAAUACAUCGGAACGUGCCCAAUCGUGGGGGAUAACGCAGCGAAAGCUGUGCUAAUACCGCAUACGAUCUACGGAUGAAAGCAGGGGAUCGCAAGACCUUGCGCGAAUGGAGCGGCCGAUGGCAGAUUAGGUAGUUGGUGAGGUAAAGGCUCACCAAGCCUUCGAUCUGUAGCUGGUCUGAGAGGACGACCAGCCACACUGGGACUGAGACACGGCCCAGACUCCUACGGGAGGCAGCAGUGGGGAAUUUUGGACAAUGGGCGAAAGCCUGAUCCAGCCAUGCCGCGUGCAGGAUGAAGGCCUUCGGGUUGUAAACUGCUUUUGUACGGAACGAAACGGCCUUUUCUAAUAAAGAGGGCUAAUGACGGUACCGUAAGAAUAAGCACCGGCUAACUACGUGCCAGCAGCCGCGGUAAUACGUAGGGUGCAAGCGUUAAUCGGAAUUACUGGGCGUAAAGCGUGCGCAGGCGGUUAUGUAAGACAGUUGUGAAAUCCCCGGGCUCAACCUGGGAACUGCAUCUGUGACUGCAUAGCUAGAGUACGGUAGAGGGGGAUGGAAUUCCGCGUGUAGCAGUGAAAUGCGUAGAUAUGCGGAGGAACACCGAUGGCGAAGGC
rnacentral:rRNA from 1 species